rnacentral:sRNA from 1 species
GUAAGGAACAAGUGGCACGUUCCAGUGACUAUCUCGAUGGGCAAUUGACCUUUCGUGAGCGUCUGCUGGUGCGUCAUCACUUGAUGUUCUGCCCGAACUGCCGACGAUUCAUCCGUCAGAUGCGCCUGAUGCAGGCGACAUUGCGGAUCAUGCCGGACGAGCCGGUCAGGGAUGCGGAUGUGCUGGCGGAGCGACUCGCUGCCGAGCGGCGUAAAGACUUGUAGGAGCGAGCUCGCUCGCGAAAAACCUCAACGAUAACGCGGGU